rnacentral:miRNA from 1 species
AGCUUCGCCACAUUCUGCCACG